rnacentral:rRNA from 1 species
CCUACGGGUGGCAGCAGUAGGGAAUCUUUCACAAUGGGCGAAAGCCUGAUGGAGCAACGCCGCGUGCAGGAUGAAGGCCUUCGGGUUGUAAACUGCUUUUAUAAGCGAGAAAUAUGAUGGUAACUUAAGAAUAAGGAUCGGCUAACUACGUGCCAGCAGCCGCGGUCAUACGUAGGAUCCGAGCAUUAUCCGGAGUGGCUGGGUGUAAAGAGUUGCGUAGGUGGCAUAAUAAGUAGCUAGUGAAAUCUGGUGGCUCAACCAUUCAGACUAUUAGCUAAAAUGUUAAGCUCGAGACCGUUAGGGGCAUCUGGAAUUUCUAGUGUAGGAGUGAAAUCCGUAGAUAUUAGAAAGAACACCGAUAGCGUAGGCAGGAUGCUGGGACGGUUCUCACACUAAGGCACGAAAGCGUAGGGAGCAAACGGGAUUAGAUACCCUAGUAGUC